GACGAACGCUGGCGGCGUGCUUAACACAUGCAAGUCGAACGAUGAUCAGGAGCUUGCUCCUGUGAUUAGUGGCGAACGGGUGAGUAACACGUGAGUAACCUGCCCCUGACUCUGGGAUAAGCGUUGGAAACGACGUCUAAUACUGGAUAUGAUCACUGGCCGCAUGGUCUGGUGGUGGAAAGAUUUUUUGGUUGGGGAUGGACUCGCGGCCUAUCAGCUUGUUGGUGAGGUAAUGGCUCACCAAGGCGACGACGGGUAGCCGGCCUGAGAGGGUGACCGGCCACACUGGGACUGAGACACGGCCCAGACUCCUACGGGAGGCAGCAGUGGGGAAUAUUGCACAAUGGGCGAAAGCCUGAUGCAGCAACGCCGCGUGAGGGAUGACGGCCUUCGGGUUGUAAACCUCUUUUAGUAGGGAAGAAGCGAAAGUGACGGUGCCUGCAGAAAAAGCACCGGCUAACUACGUG
rnacentral:rRNA from 1 species